ensembl:lncRNA
AUGGCCAGUGCGGAUGGCGUCACUGCAGGGCGGGGUUGCGCCAUUUUGAAUUUGAGAGAGGUUGUAGGAGGAUGGAGCUGUGAGGAGGGAGGGCUGCAGGGAGAAAGCCUCGGGAUCUUCAGAUUAACGAGUGAACGAAAGGACUACCGAAAAGAGCUUCUUUCCGAGGAUCAAGCGCUUUUAUUUUGAAAAACUGCAUUUUCGGCGACUCUCUUGGAACUCUUGCUCUGGUCGCUGCCUUCACACUGCUGAUCAAGACAUCGCCACUCUCGCCAUGGCAGGUAACUUGGCAGGUUUAGGAGCUGCUCGGGCACGGGUUGUAUUAAAUGAGUUUUAUUGUAGCAGCAGCUUUUGUUUGUUGGACUGAGCGCCGCGGCUGUGCUGAAGCCCUCGUCGGCAUCGCUGAACCGCUGACAGUAGCCUAGCAUCUUAGCUGGCUCGUUCCCCUCCCGUUCGCCAGCAAAUCGGCAAAACUGAUUUCGAUCGGGUUUUAUUCGUAAUUGGACGAUUAUUUCAGUACUGAUGCUCCUUUGUGAUCUGGGUAUUUCAGCGAUGAGCUGCAUUUGCGCGGAAAUCUGUCCGGCUAAACCCACUCCUCGUUCGUUAGCGGGGAUGCGCGGUCGCUACGGGGUUUUUAAUGUCGGUUGAAAAAAUGAAUAGGCGUCGGAUAACGUGUCCUGCUCCUCGUCCUCUGUGUUCAUGUAUCACCUGCCCUGAUGUGUAAAUCUGCUUGACAUCUCGCCCUUUUUUAAAUCACCUCCGUUAAAGUAACGUUAGCGAACUUUAACCGGCAUCUGCAGAGUCAUGAGCGAUGACAAACCCCAUCAGACUUAUUAUUAUUAUUAUUAUUAUUAUUAUUAUUAUUAACAGAAAAGAAAUUAGAUCAGUUGGUAAGAGGUGGGAGGAUUCACUUAUAUGGCACUGAUUGAAAAACAAAAAUCAACUUUCUACACACACGCCCUUUCUGUCGUUAAUGGGUGCAGUGAUUUGUUUUUUAUAUAUAUAUAUAUAUCAUGACUACUGAACGCAUGUAGAAAAAGAAACAAGAAAGAACAUUCCAAGUUGUUCAGAUACUG